rnacentral:lncRNA from 7 species
GCUGCUGAAUGGAUCAGUCUUUAAAUGGGUUGCACUGUGUGAGCAGUGAAUGCAAAGAAUGCACAACUUUUGAGACGCCAUCACAUAUGUUCUGAGGCUGAUGAACUGAAGAGAUCUGGGAGCCACAUGUGACCAGCAGAAUGAGCACCAGCCUAGAGUACAGUUUCAGUGGGAGAUGACUUUUGGGAAAGUUCCCACAGAAAUCCCAUUGUAGCAUUUCUGUUCUUACUGGGUCUGAUUUCAUUUAUUCUGAGGCUUCCUCACACAUUUAUGGCAUUGCAGUGAGAACUUAACGUGGGCAUAACGCACACUUGCAAUCUCAUUAAUGCUCUUUGGCAUUGUCAGAAGGGUGUGAAAGGGCUGCUUGUGUCAAGGAGAAUCUGGCCCAUCAUGUUUAUUCAUGCAGUAGCUUCUGCUGAGUCACAGAGUCUGCCUCACAGCCAGGAAAAGGGCUUGUUUUCAUUAGGGGACAUCAACACUAUCUGGUGGUUGCAGAGCACCGGAGCACAGAGUGUGCUGAGGGAGGAUCACAGAGGGCUUUUUGGAACUCAAAGGAGCAGUACUUUACUGUGAUGAGUGACACAGCUGGAAAGAUGAUAUUUUCAAUCAUACAAUACAGUGGUCUAUCCUGAAGACU